rnacentral:rRNA from 1 species
UACGUAGGGGGCAAGCGUUGUCCGGAUUUAUUGGGCGUAAAGAGCUCGUAGGCGGUUCGAUAAGUCGGACGUGAAAUCUCCACGCUCAACGUGGAGGGGCCGUUCGAUACUGUCGUGACUCGAGUCCGGUAGGGGAGUGUGGAAUUCCCGGUGUAGCGGUGAAAUGCGCAGAGAUCGGGAGGAACACCGGUGGCGAAGGCGGCGACCUGGGUAGAUACUGACGCUGAGGUGCGAAAGCGUGGGGAGCAAACAGG